AUUGAACGCUGGCGGCAGGCCUAACACAUGCAAGUCGAGCGGAUGAAGGGAGCUUGCUCCUGGAUUCAGCGGCGGACGGGUGAGUAAUGCCUAGGAAUCUGCCUGGUAGUGGGGGAUAACGUCCGGAAACGGGCGCUAUUACCGCAUACGUCCUGAGGGAGAAAGUGGGGGAUCUUCGGACCUCACGCUAUCAGAUGAGCCUAGGUCGGAUUAGCUAGUUGGUGGGGUAAAGGCCUACCAAGGCGACGAUCCGUAACUGGUCUGAGAGGAUGAUCAGUCACACUGGAACUGAGACACGGUCCAGACUCCUACGGGAGGCAGCAGUGGGGAAUAUUGGACAAAGGGCGAAAGCCUGAUCCAGCCAUGCCGCGUGUGUGAAGAAGGUCUUCGGAUUGUAAAGCACUUUAAGUUGGGAGGAAGGGCAGUAAGUUAAUACCUUGCUGUUUUGACGUUACCAACAGAAUAAGCACCGGCUAACUUCGUG
rnacentral:rRNA from 1 species